rnacentral:tRNA from 1 species
GCCCGGGUGGCGAAACUGGUAGACGCAUGGGACUUAAAAUCCUCCGGCCGCAAGGCCAUGCGGGUUCGACUCCCGCCCCGGGCA